rnacentral:rRNA from 1 species
UACGUAGGGGGCAAGCGUUGUCCGGAUUCAUUGGGCGUAAAGAGCUCGUAGGCGGCUUGGCAAGUCGGGUGUGAAAACUCCAGGCUCAACCUGGAGACGCCACCCGAUACUGCCAUGGCUUGAGUCCGGUAGGGGACCACGGAAUUCCUGGUGUAGCGGUGAAAUGCGCAGAUAUCAGGAGGAACACCAAUGGCGAAGGCAGCUCGCUGGGACGUGACUGACGCUGAGACGCGAAAGCGUGGGGAGCAAACAGG